UACGUAGGGGGCAAGCGUUGUCCGGAUUUAUUGGGCGUAAAGAGCGUGUAGGCGGCCAGAUAGGUCGGUUGUGAAAACUGGAGGCUCAACCUCCAGACGUCGAUCGAAACCAUCUGGCUAGAGUCCGGAAGAGGAGAAUGGAAUUCCUGGUGUAGCGGUGAAAUGCGCAGAUAUCAGGAGGAACACCAAUGGCGAAGGCAGCUCGCUGGAACGGUACUGACGCUGAGGCGCGAAAGCGUGGGGAGCGAACAGG
rnacentral:rRNA from 1 species